rnacentral:rRNA from 1 species
AUACGGAGGGGGCUAGCGUUGUUCGGAAUUACUGGGCGUAAAGCGCACGUAGGCGGAUUAAAAAGUUAGAGGUGAAAUCCCAGGGCUUAACCCUGGAACUGCCUUUAGAACUAGUAGUCUAGAGUUCGAGAGAGGUGAGUGGAAUUCCAAGUGUAGAGGUGAAAUUCGUAGAUAUUUGGAGGAACACCAGUGGCGAAGGCGGCUCGCUGGCUCGAUACUGACGCUGAGGUGCGAAAGCGUGGGGAGCAAACAGGAUUAGAAACCCCGGUAGUCC